rnacentral:rRNA from 1 species
UACAGAGGUCCCAAGCGUUGUUCGGAUUUACUGGGCGUAAAGGGUGCGUAGGCGGUCGGCAAAGUCUGGUGUGAAAUUCUGUGGCUCAACCGCAGAAGUGCAUUGGAAACUUGCUGACUAGAGGACUGGAGGGGGGGCUGGAAUUCUCGGUGUAGCAGUGAAAUGCGUAGAUAUCGAGAGGAACGCCAGUGGCGAAAGCGAGUCCCUGGACAGUAACUGACGCUGAGGCACGAAAGCUAGGGUAGCAAACAGG